GGGAAUCCAUUCCGAGGGGUCCUUUCACAUUGCCUUCAACCAGAAACUCUAUUUCGUUUUCAUACCUAUCUAGGAGGGUUGUUCCUAGUAUAAAUAUCCCCUACCUCUAAGCUAUCAGCAACCUUUGAUCAUUUUGAUAAACUACAUGAUAUUGCAGCCGCGCUGCUGAGUGCCUUACUCAACCUUUGUUUUUCCUUGUUCUUCAUGGACUUGUGAAGUGAAUCCUCUGGGUUCCCCUACUUCGUGCUCUACGGCUUCCGUUCGGCUGCGCCGUAUUGUGUGGAUUAGUUCCGGAUUGUGGUUCUGCGGUCGUUCGGAGAUCGAGUCGAAGUCUUCGCGGUUUCGGUGCCUCUCUCCCCGUCGCUUGGUCGCAUCCAACCUUUGUCAGGUAUAAAGCUAGUUACCCGCUGUUCGCAGCAAGUUAUCCUUGUUCUUUUGAUCUACUGUCAUG
rnacentral:lncRNA from 1 species